rnacentral:rRNA from 1 species
UACGUAGGUGGCAAGCGUUGUCCGGAUUUACUGGGCGUAAAGAGCGCGCAGGCGGUCGAUCAAGUCGCGUGUGAAAGCCCCCGGCUCAACUGGGGAGGGUCACGCGAUACUGAUCGACUCGAAGGCAGGAGAGGGUAGUGGAAUUCCCGGUGUAGUGGUGAAAUGCGUAGAUAUCGGGAGGAACACCAGUGGCGAAGGCGACUACCUG